AUGAGUGCAAGGAGGAGGAAAUCAUCGAGGGGCUUCCUGAGCCGUUCAGUAGGGACGAGCUCCUUGACCUCCUGGUCCAGGUCUGCCUCCGAGAUGCCACCCUGCUCUCCCGCCUCGCCACCUCGGCGACCUCCGACGCCGCGCAUCACCUCCGCCGCGCUAGCCGCCCCCUUCGUCCCCUUUGGGGUCCUCGAUGGGUGCCACGCCGUCGCUGAACGCGCCACCGGCCGCUGCCGCGGCUAUGGCUUCAUCAUCCUCCGCCGAUGCUCAUCCCGCCGCCGCGCCCUCGCGGACUCCUCCAAGCGCGUCGGGGGCCGCCCCGUUGUCUGCCAGUUCGCCUCGGUCGGUCCCCCGGAGGCACGGCCCCCGGUUGUGCCUUCUUCGUUGGGUUGGAACACGUCAGAUAAACAUUCCAGAGUAGCCGUCUGCCUUUCGUAG
rnacentral:rRNA from 1 species